rnacentral:misc_RNA from 1 species
GCCUCGACUUCCAUCAAAUGCAUCCAACCACCUCUCACCCUGCAUACCAAAUUGAAAGAUACCCUCAAAGAUGUCUUUUGUUGCCAAGCAUAUCCCAUGAUCCACAGGGUGCCAAUUCAAGUAAUUUUAUNNNNNCAACCGUGGGUAUGGGCAACUCGGAUGAUUAUAAGAAGAUUUCUGUACCACUGGUACACAGAUAUCUAAUUCACAAGAGUUCUUUAUCAUAAAAUGCAAGAAGUUGCUUAACAUGAUUAUGCCAAGCAGCAACAUUUUGCCCAUCAACAGUAGCCCAGUCAACAACUGUAGAUGCUGGUUGCUCCCACCACUCAUCAAGCAAACCUCUCACAUAUUUGCAAUCUUCCAAGCACUUCUGAGCAUUCAAAACAGCUGUUUUAAGUUCAGGUUCAGGCAACCAUUUCUCUGUGACAAUUUUCUCUUGCUCAGAGGCCAAACUCAGACAAUAAUUUGUAGUCCUUUGAUAUUCUUGUUGAGAAAGGUAUGCAUGGUUUAACAAUGCAUGACCACUUUCAACGAGAUCCUGUCGUAUAUGGACAAGAUUG